AGGGUUCGAUUCUGGCUCAGGAUGAACGCUGGCGGCGUGCCUAAUACAUGCAAGUCGAACGGGAGUGCUUGCACUCCAGUGGCGAACGGGUGAGUAACACGUAGGUAAUCUAGCAUUAAGACGAGGAUAGCUUCUAGAAAUGGGAGAUAAUACUGGAUAGGAAAUUUUCCUGCAUGGGGAAAUUUUUAAAGAUUUAUCGCUUAAUGGGGAGCCUGCGGUGCAUUAGCUAGAUGGUGAGGGUAACGGCCCACCAUGGCGAUGAUGCAUAGCCGGUCUGAGAGGACGAACGGCCACAUUGGGACUGAGAACGGCCCAAACUCCUACGGGAGGCAGCAGUAGGGAAUUUUCGGCAAUGGGCGGAAGCCUGACCGAGCAACGCCGCGUGAUUGAAGAAGUAUUUCGGUAUGUAAAAAUCUUUUAUUUGGGACGAAAAAAUCGAAAUUGACGGUACCAAAUGAAUAAGCCCCGGCUAACUACGUGCCAGCAGCAGC
rnacentral:rRNA from 1 species